rnacentral:rRNA from 1 species
GAUGAACGCUAGCGGCAGGCUUAACACAUACAAGUCGAGGGCAGCGUGAGGGUUAGCAAUAACCCUUGACGGCGACCGGCGCAAGGGUGCGUAACGCGUGAGCAACUUGCCCUUAUCAGGGGGAUAACCGGUGGAAACCGCCGACUAAUACCCCAUGGCAUUGAGUUGAGGCAUCUCUACUCAAUUAAAGAAUUUCGGAUAAGGAUAGGCUCGCGUGACAUUGGCUAGGGGUUCUGAGAGGAAGGUCCCCCANACUGGAACUGAGACACGGUCCAGACUCCUACGGGAGGCAGCCAGUGAGGAAUAUUGGU